rnacentral:lncRNA from 1 species
CAAGUGCAUUGCGCAGAAUCCCCAUGGCCGAAAAGGUACUUCUUCAAGAAACGGCCCUACACGGACAAGACUCCAACGAGAAAGUCUAAAGCCCCCGGUUUCCGCGAUUCGUCAGAACAGCCCACGUCAAAAAAUCCGAGACUCCUCCCCGGCGUAUAAUGGCACAGAAGAACAUACACACCGAGAACACGCGGCGGAUUUCGGCGUGCCGGACAUUCACAAUAACGAAACCGGAUGAUUUCAACGUUUUAAAUGACAUUUCACAGCUUUGACACACCCGAACCCUUGGAGCCACGACAGGCCCUGUAUGGAGGCCGUACCAAUGCUUUGACCUUACGGUAUGUAGCGCAACCAGACGACACUAUAGGUUAUGUAGAUUUUACAUCUCUUUAUCCUCAUGUAAUGAGUUCCUCAUGCUAUCCUAUGGGGCAUCUUGAAAUUAUUCACCGCGACAUUGACUUACCCCAAAACUAUUUUGGUCUGAUCAAAGCAACUGUCUACCCACCUAGGGGUUUGUUUAUACCAGUGUUGCCUUACAAGGGACCUCAAGGAAAACUUUUCUUUCCCCUAUGUCGCACCUGCAGUGAAAACAACAACCAGGAAAAGCCUUGUGAUCACUCAGAUCAGGAAAGAGCCCUUACAGCUGUCUGGGUUCCACCUGAAUUCACAAAGGCUCUAGAGAAGGGGUAUCGUGUGGCCAAAAUCUUUGAAGUGUGGAACUUUUCCAGGAAAUCAGACACUCUUUUUAAAGAGUACAUCAAGACCUUGUUGAGAUGCAAGCAAAUGGCUUCAGGCUAUCCUGCAUCGGUCACAGAUCAAGAGAGCAAAGACAAGUACAUUCAAGACUAUCAUGACAGAGAAGGCAUACUUCUUGACCCCAACCGAAUAGAGGUCAACAAGACCAAACGAAAUGUGUCAAAAUUUUACUUAAACUCGCUUUGGGGAAGCUUUCGCAGAGAUGCAAUAUGCUAACAACAUCGAUCAUUAAAGACCCCGAAGAAUUUUUGGAAUUUGUUUUUUCGGACCAAUACGAAAUUUCACAUUUUUCAUUCUUGAGUCAAGACAUUGCCCUGGUGCAAUGGAGACGUAACAAGAAGUGGGUUCUACCCCUGGGUAAUGUAAAUGUGUUUCUUGCAGCAUUUACCACGGCCUAUGGCCGACUUGAACUGUACUCCCUCAUGGAGCAGCUUCAGAGGAGGGUUCUUUACCAUGACACAGACUCUGUGGUCUAUGUAAGCAAACAGGGUGACUGGACCCCCCCACUUAGCAACUAUCUGGGUGGUUUAACGAGUGAACUCAAAGAUGGCGACCAUAUCACAGAAGGGACUUCCUGUGGGCCCAAAAGCUAUGCUUUUAGGACUAAAGACAAUCAUGUGGUGUUGAAAGCCAAAGGCGUGACUCAAAACUACGAAAAUGCCCCGCGUGUAAACUUGGAAUCAAUCACACGCUUGGUCGAGGGGUUCAUAAACGAUCGGAAUAGUGACUUGGAGAUUUUGAGCUCCUACAAAAAAAUUGUUAGGGAUAAAAAGGGCUUCCAUCUCAGGAAUGCCCCACUUACUAAAAGAUUCAGGGUAGUCUAUGACAAGAGACUGCUUUUACCUAAUGGGACCACACUGCCCUUUGGCUACUGACUUAUGCUACAAGCCCCAGUGUGUCUUAAAGCUUAAGAUAUAAUGGCUGCUGUAGAAGGUUUUGACCCCAGGUUGCAACUCACAUUUUCGGCCUUAAUCGCAGGCCCCUCCAACAGUGGUAAAACAUGUUUUGUAAAAAGUAUUUUAGAGAAUUCUGAACAUGUGUUAUCUCAGAAGCCUGAC